CCUACGGGAGGCAGCAGUGGGGAAUAUUGGACAAUGGGCGAAAGCCUGAUCCAGCAAUGCCGCGUGAGUGAUGAAGGCCUUAGGGUUGUAAAGCUCUUUUACCAGGGAUGAUAAUGACAGUACCUGGAGAAUAAGCUCCGGCUAACUCCGUGCCAGCAGCCGCGGUAAUACGGAGGGAGCUAGCGUUGUUCGGAAUUACUGGGCGUAAAGCGUGCGUAGGCGGCGAUUCAAGUCAGAGGUGAAAGCCUGGAGCUCAACUCCAGAACUGCCUUUGAAACUAGAUUGCUAGAAUCAUGGAGAGGUGAGUGGAAUUCCGAGUGUAGAGGUGAAAUUCGUAGAUAUUCGGAAGAACACCAGUGGCGAAGGCGGCUCACUGGACAUGUAUUGACGCUGAGGCACGAAAGCGUGGGGAGCAAACAGGAUUAGAUACCCUGGUAGUCCACGCCGUAAACGAUGAUAACUAGCUGCCAGGGCUCAUAGAGNUUGGUGGCGCGAGCUACGACAUUAAGUUAUCCGCCGUCGGGUAGGUACGGUCGCGAGAAGUUAAACGUAACGAAAGAAAGUUAGUACGGACGUGAGACGUAGACCGAACGGACGACGACGAGGGGAGGAGGG
rnacentral:rRNA from 1 species